rnacentral:rRNA from 1 species
CCUACGGGAGGCAGCAGUGAGGAAUAUUGGUCAAUGGACGAGAGUCUGAACCAGCCAAGUAGCGUGAAGGAUGACUGCCCUAUGGGUUGUAAACUUCUUUUAUAUGGGAAUAAAAUGUUCCACGUGUGGGAUUUUGUAUGUACCAAAUGAAUAAGGAUCGGCUAACUCCGUGCCAGCAGCCGCGGUAAUACGGAGGAUCCGAGCGUUAUCCGGAUUUAUUGGGUUUAAAGGGAGCGUAGGUGGAUUGUUAAGUCAGUUGUGAAAGUUUGCGGCUCAACCGUAAAAUUGCAGUUGAAACUGGCAGUCUUGAGUACAGUAGAGGUGGGCGGAAGUCGUGGUGUAGCGGUGAAAUGCUUAGAUAUCACGAAGAACUCCGAUUGCGAAGGCAGUUCACUGGACUGCAACUGACACUGAGGCUCGAAAGUGUGGGUAUCAAACAGGAUUAGAUACCCGUGUAGUC